AGAGACAGAAGUAUCGUACAUGGCACCUUAUUGACAAAAAAAACACAUGCAAUAAGAAACGCGCGCACUGAGCAUUAUUGCUCUCAGAGAGGUGUACUCCCGAAUAUUGAAAAACAUUCGUGAACUGGCAACAAGAGCAUCGUUGCAACAAAUUUGCACGAAUAAGCAAGAUAUCGCUUUCUUGUUUAAAGCUGCGUUUUGGACGUUGUAGACUUGCAAUGAAGAUUCUACUGAUUGGUGUCUUGCUGAUCAUUUUGCUAGUCCACGUGGAGGGUGGACGCAAGAAAAGAUGUGAAUCUCCGUCGAGAAGUAGGAGGUGCCGUAAGUGCAGUGUUGGAUGUAAUAACAGAUGUAAACCUUUACCUCGUGGCCAGCCUUGCAACAACAAGACACUGCUUGAGAAGUGUAUUACAUGUCUGCAUAAAUGCUGUACUCCCGCACCUAAUACACCCCUCGAUGUCGAGAGGAGGAUCUGUCUCGGCCUUGACUAAAUGGAGAAUGAAGAAAACCUAUGCAAUUUAAUAAACUGUAUGUUAUACAGA